rnacentral:rRNA from 1 species
CUAAGAAUAUUCCGCAAUGGACGGAAGUCUGACGGAGCGACGCCGCGUGGAUGACGAAGGCCGAAAGGUUGUAAAGUUCUUUUGCUGGGGAAGAAUAACCGCAGGAGGGAAUGCCUGUGGGAUGACAAGAACCGGCGAAUAAGCCCCGGCCAACUACGUGCCAGCAGCCGCGGUAACACGUAGGGGGCGAGCGUUGUUCGGAAUUACUGGGCGUAAAGGGCAUGUAGGCGGCUUGGGAAGCCUGGCGUGAAAGUCUGCAGCUUAACUGCAGGGGUGCGCUGGGAACUGCUGAGCUUGAGUGACGGAGAGGGAGCUGGAAUUCCUGGUGUAGGGGUGAAAUCUGUAGAUAUCAGGAAGAACACCGAUGGCGAAGGCAAGCUCCUGGCCGAUGACUGACGCUGAGGUGCGAAAGUGUGGGGAUCAAACAGGAUUAGAUACCCUGGUAGUCCACACAGUCAACGAUGUGCACUAGGUGCUGGGGCGGUAGCUUCGGUGCCGGAGCGAACGUGGUAAGUGCACCGCCUGGGGAGUAUGCUCGCAAGGGUGAAACUCAAAUGAAUUGACGGGGGUCAUAGCU